GACGAACGCUGGCGGCGUGCCUAAUACAUGCAAGUAGAACGCAGUUGCGAACGGGUGAGUAACGCGUAGGUAACUGCCGCAUAGCGGGGGAUAACUAUUGGAAACGAUAGCUAAUACCGCAUACUUUGAGAUUGGCCUGCGGUGUAUUAGCUAGUUGGUGAGGUAAAGGGUCACAAAGGCGAAGAAACAUAGCCGACCGGAGAGGGGGUUCCGGCCCACUGGGGCUGAGACACGGGCCAGACUCCGUCGGGGGGCAACAAUAGGGAAUGCUCGGGAAAUGGAGGAAGUCCUACCCGGGAACGCCGGGUGAGUGGAGAAGGUUUUCGGGUCGGAAAGCUCUGUUGUUUGGGAAGCGGUAACUAACCAGAAAGCGACGGCUAACUACGUGCCAGCAGCCGCGGUAAUAC
rnacentral:rRNA from 1 species